GUUUAAACAGUAACCCUUCCUAUUUAAACAGCUGAGUAGAGGUGGAAGUCAUACUGAGUAAAGAAGCUGGCUGACUGAGUUUUACAGCACAAACUGAACAGAAAUGGGAUUUCCAGAUUAUCUCACUGUGAUGAUUUCACUGAACUUCCGGCUCUUCCUUCCUUUCACUUUCCUGGUCAUCAUUUUGUGCUGCAUGAUUCGACUGGAUCGCGUUCCUGUCUGCUACUACAUGAACCUCCUCAUCUGCAACCUGAUACACAUUCUCUCUCUGAUCCUGCUGAAAGCCACCAUGGAUCCUUUUCAGGAAAACUUACUUACAAUCACAUAUUAUUUUAAAAUGUACAACUUUGGUGCUGUGACCAGUCUUUGCUUCAGGAUGUGUGUUGCUGUAGAAAGGUUAUUUCUGAUCUGCUGGCCACAGCAGGACUUCAUCAGACAAACCAAAGGUUCAGUCAUUAUCUGCGCCUCAGUCUGGUUGUUUUGUAUUGUUCUUGUCACAAAUGUCAUCAUCUUUAAGUUCUAUUAUCUGCUUGUGACAGUUGGCUUUCUUUCUGCUCCAGUGUUCAUCAUAAGUCUGGUCAGUGGUGUUACAUAUUUACCUAAUGUCUCGUCUUUCCCAGCUGCAGAGAAACACAGAAUUAUGGGAAUUUUUGUUAUAAUAAUGCUUAAUUACACGUUGACAAUCCUGCCUGUGCUUAUUUAUUUUAUUUAUACAUAUCUGCACUCCCCUGAAAUGACAGAAAUUAUUUUUGCCUUGUUUCUCUUCAGCCCUUUCAUGGACCUGAUUCUGUUUGUCUUUAUGUGUAAAGAGAUCACUGACCAGCUGUUGAUGUGCGUCUGCUGCUGCAGAAAGGAAACUCCUGCAGAAGAUUAGAAAAGCAAUCAGUCUGUUAAAGUGUAGAGCAGACUGGUAAACGUAGACUGUAGAUAUUUACAAGAUGGUAAAAAAUGUUUGGUUGCUUUGAAAUCAACAUGUUUUAUCCAUCCAGUCGAGCUAAUUUGAAAAUAAAUAACUGAACAUGUUAUAAAUUAUACACAUUAUCAUCAAAUGUAAUUUUUUAUUCUGUUGCAAAUUAAUUUUUGCAGAAAUAUGUGUAUAUAUGUGUAAAUAUUUUGCUUGUCAGUUUAUUAUUAUUUCAGUUUUAUGCUGUAAGAAUGUUCAUUUAGUUGCCAUCUAGUGGCUGAAUUAGGUACUACAUCUAAGAGUUUGAUGACGUCACAGAAAGCCUACAGGCAGGAGGACUGGUCUCAGUUACACUGCAACAUUUUAAACUUCAAGCUGGUCUGUGAAAGAAUUUUGAUAAAUAACUAAAUUUACAAUUGAUGUUUCAGUUGAUUGAUAAUAAUUUAGUUAUUUGAAUUUAAGCAGCAUUUUUAUUUUGUACUUACAAACUUUUACAGCUGUAAGCUAAUUAUUAUCCCCUGAAGACAUUUAUUAUACGUUUAAAUGCUGUAUUAUUUGCUACUCUGCAUUAUUUCUGAGUUUAUCUGAAUGUCGACUCCAAAAAGGCGACGGAAAAUCAGUGUGAAGUGUUUUCUCAUCAGUGAGCUGUUUAGUUCUCACUCUGUUUUCUGUAACGAUGUUCAGUGGAACCGAUACAUAACCUACAGAAUAAAAUCCAAAUUAUAUCAGUUUAUUUUUUUAGUUGUUAUAUUAAAACAAAUGUGAAACAUGAUGAUAUUAAAGAAAGUAAAAACAGGCUAAUUAACAAGCAGCACUGUAAAUUAUUAUUAUUAAUAAUAUUAUUAUUAACACCACAAUAAUAUUUAGUUUCUUGUCCUGUAAGUGAAUCACCAAUAAUGACAAAAUAUAAAAUUUUCAAGACCAAGCUUUAUGUUAUAAUAUUUUAAAGUCAUUAAACCAAAAAAAAAGCUAAGUUUCCACAGAAAAUGCUUAUUUUUAAACUUUUCUCAGAUUAAUGUUUCUAUUGUUCAUUUAAUAUUUUUGGAAGAAAAAUUCAGGAGAUAAUUGCCUGACCACAAGGGGGCGCUGAAAAAGCACUGACAUUUUUAUUCUCAGAUGAUCAACUGGAAUAAAUAAAUAAAUUCUGUGAUGUCAUGGUGGAGCAGAUAAUAAAUAAAUUCUCAUUAAUUAGUAAACAUGGAGAAACAGCAGGAGCCUUAAAAAUGACCCCAAAGGUUCACAUAUUGACAUACUGUAGAUUUCACAUUAAAUACCUUCUUAAUGAAAGACUGGAAGCAUGUUGAUCAUGGACAGGGUGUGUGUCGGAGUUUACUUCUUACUGUGUGUUUUAUAUAAACAGGCUAAAAAUAGGAAAACCUGUUUGAGUCUUCAUGUGGAUAUUCAGGAAUAUGAUGAAGGCAGGGUUUGAAAGCAGCACUUUCUCUAUAAAUAAAGUUUCUAUCAGUUUUA